AUGAGCCCAGGCAGCCACCUGCACGCCCGCCACAGAGAGGCUGGUCCACGUUAGCGGUCACCAGAAUCCAGGAGGAAAACAAGGCCUACUGAGUUUUCUUGUCGAUUCAAACAAGUUUCCAGGGAGUGUGCUUUUCUAAGCAGAUUUCUACUUCUCCCUUUACCACUGGGGGACACCCCACCCUUUUCUGCUCAGUUUUCAUCAUUACUAAUUAGACACAGUUUUCACCAACAUAUUUUGGCUUGUGCUUUUGACCUUGAAAACAAUUUCAAAUUACGGACUACCUAAGGUGACCUCCCAGCGUCUGCUUCAUUCCUGCGUGAUUGCUUCCAGCUAAUUCUGUUCGGAACUAGGCCCUGGGUUAAGGCAGUCACCCUGAGAAAGAGCAGAGAAAUGCCAAGUCCUUGUGGAUUCCCUGGGUUAAGAGAGUGGCAGGCACAAAGCUAGCAAUGCCCACUGGUCCUCUGUGACUCAGUCUCCAUCGGCCCCUCUUCACUGGCAAGUUUGAGCUAGAAAUGCCUGUUCUGCUUAGUUUGUGGGACCUCUCCCAUGAGGUCCUGAUGGAGUUGGAGUUCAGAGACCUCGGGUCAUCUUCCCCUAAUAUUUCUCCCCCUCUGGGAGUAUGAACCAAAAUUAUUUUUGGGGUGCAGAAGGUGGAAGUUCUGGAUUCUCUAAUUGCCACUUCCAUGGGGGUAGAUAGCAUCAUGGUUCUGCAAAGAAACUCUCAUGCCUGAGGCUCCAAAGUCCUAGGUUCAGUCCCCGACACCACUUUAAACCAAAGUUGAAUAGUGCUCUGGUAAAAACAAACAAAAACUGAUAAGUUUAUGGAUUUGAAGCAUUAAGUGCUUAGACUAAAGCAGACUCCCUGCCUCACAAAGCACCCUACAUUCUUGAUACUAUGGCCACUAGAUAAAAAGAAAGGGGGAGAUGUCAGGAAAUUGUGAGGAUGUGGUUGAGCCUGGUAGGGCAUGACUUGAGGGGACAUCCAUCCUCUUGUCUUAUCAGACUUACUAUCUACAUAAUCAUUGUUUUGCCUGAAAGAUCCCCACUCAUUCCAUUCCUUUGCUCUAUCUUUUUUCUACCCUCAAGACCCUCCCUGCCUACAGGGUAUUAUUAAUCCUACCAGUUAAAACCCUAACAACAGUUGCUAAGGAAGUUCCUACCUUUCCAGCUCCAUUUUGCCUUUUUCUGCCCCUUUCCUAGCCAUUUCCAUUUCCAACUUGCCACUUCUGGGUCUGCCCUUUAAAAGCCUUGGCUUUCUGAUCAAUAAAGACUCAAAUUGCCUCGCCA